rnacentral:rRNA from 1 species
AGAACUUAGCAGAGAUGCUUUGGUGCCUUCGGGAACUCUGAGACAGGUGCUGCAUGGCUGUCGUCAGCUCGUGUUGUGAAAUGUUGGGUUAAGUCCCGCAACGAGCGCAACCCUUAUCCUUUGUUGCCAGCGGUCCGGCCGGGAACUCAAAGGAGACUGCCAGUGAUAAACUGGAGGAAGGUGGGGAUGACGUCAAGUCAUCAUGGCCCUUACGAGUAGGGCUACACACGUGCUACAAUGGCGCAUACAAAGAGAAGCGACCUCGCGAGAGCAAGCGGACCUCAUAAAGUGCGUCGUAGUCCGGAUUGGAGUCUGCAACUCGACUCCAUGAAGUCGGAAUCGCUAGUAAUCGUGGAUCAGAAUGCCACGGUGAAUACGUUCCCGGGCCUUGUACACACCGCCCGUCACACCAUGGGAGUGGGUUGCAAAAGAAGUAGGUAGCUUAACCUUCGGGAGGGCGCCUACCACUUUGUGAUUCAUGACUGGGGUGAAGUCGUAACAAGGUAGGCGUAGUGCU